rfam:Acyrthosiphon pisum strain LSR1 Contig8191, whole genome shotgun sequence.
AAAAAGGCCCUUUUCAGGGCCACCACAUGACAUAUAAUAUCGCUU